rnacentral:rRNA from 1 species
UACGGAGGGUGCAAGCGUUACUCGGAAUCACUGGGCGUAAAGAGCGCGUAGGCGGACUGUCAAGUCAGCGGUAAAAUACGGGGGCUCAACCUCCGCCCGCCGUUGAAACUGACGGUCUUGAGUGGGCGAGAAGUAUGCGGAAUGCGUGGUGUAGCGGUGAAAUGCAUAGAUAUCACGCAGAACUCCGAUUGCGAAGGCAGCAUACCGGCGCCCAACUGACGCUGAAGCACGAAAGCGUGGGUAUCGAACAGG